GAUGAACGCUGGCGGCGUGCUUAACACAUGCAAGUCGAGCGAACGGACCAGAAGUUUGCUUCUCUGAUGUUAGCGGCGGACGGGUGAGUAACACGUGGAUAACCUACCUAUAAGACUGGGAUAACUUCGGGAAACCGUAGCUAAUACCGGAUAAUCUUUUGAACCGCAUGGUUCAAAAGUGAAAGACGGUCUUGCUGUCACUUAUAGAUGGAUCCGCGCUGCAUUAGCUAGUUGGUAAGGUAACGGCUUACCAAGGCAACGAUGCAUAGCCGACCUGAGAGGGUGAUCGGCCACACUGGAACUGAGACACGGUCCAGACUCCUACGGGAGGCAGCAGUAGGGAAUCUUACGCAAUGGGCGAAAGCCUGACGCAGCAGCGCCGCGUGAGUGAUGAAGGUCUUCGGAUCGUAAAACUCUGUUAUUAGGGAAGAACAUAUGUGUAAGUAGCUGUGCACAUCUUGACGGUACCUAAUCAAAAAGCCACGGCUAACUACGUG
rnacentral:rRNA from 1 species